AUGGAAAGCGGCGGACGGGUGAGUAACGCGUGGGCAACCUGCCUUUCACAGAGGGAUAGCCAAAGGAAACUUUGAUUAAAACCUCAUAAAGCCGGAAUAGUGCAUAAUAUACUGGCCAAAGAUUUAUCGGUGAAAGAUGGGCCCGCGUCUGAUUAGCUAGUUGGUGGGGUAACGGCUCACCAAGGCAACGAUCAGUAGCCGACCUGAGAGGGUGAUCGGCCACAUUGGAACUGAGACACGGUCCAAACUCC
rnacentral:rRNA from 1 species